rnacentral:rRNA from 1 species
AGAGUUUGAUCCUGGCUCAGAUUGAACGCUGGCGGCAUGCCUUACACAUGCAAGUCGAACGGCAGCACGGGGGCAACCCUGGUGGCGAGUGGCGAACGGGUGAGUAAUAUAUCGGAACGUGCCCUGGAGUGGGGGAUAACUAGUCGAAAGAUUAGCUAAUACCGCAUACGAUCUACGGAUGAAAGUGGGGGACCCGCAAGGGCCUCAUGCUCCUGGAGCGGCCGAUAUCUGAUUAGCUAGUUGGUGAGGUAAAGGCUCACCAAGGCAUCGAUCAGUAGCUGGUCUGAGAGGACGACCAGCCACACUGGGACUGAGACACGGCCCAGACUCCUACGGGAGGCAGCAGUGGGGAAUUUUGGACAAUGGGCGCAAGCCUGAUCCAGCAAUGCCGCGUGAGUGAAGAAGGCCUUUCGGGUUGUAAGCUCUUUUUGUCAGGGAAGAAACGGUGAGGGCGAAUACCCCUUUUG